CAGAAGAAAAAGGUUUUGGGGCAAGUGCUUAUAAGGUGGAUUGGAACCCACCUUCGAAAGAAAAAGGUUUUGGGGCAAGUGCUUAUAAGGUGGAUUGGAACCCACCUUCGAAAGAAGAAGGUUUUGGGGCAAGUGCUUAUAAGGUGGACUGGAACCCACCUUCGAAAGAAAAAGGUUUUGGGGCAAGUGCUUAUAAGGUGGAUUGGAACCCAG